GACGAACGCUGGCGGCGUGCUUAACACAUGCAAGUCGAACGGAAAGGCCCUGCUUUUGUGGGGUGCUCGAGUGGCGAACGGGUGAGUAACACGUGAGUAACCUGCCCUUGACUUUGGGAUAACUUCAGGAAACUGGGGCUAAUACCGGAUAGGAGCUCCUGCUGCAUGGUGGGGGUUGGAAAGUUUCGGCGGUUGGGGAUGGACUCGCGGCUUAUCAGCUUGUUGGUGGGGUAGUGGCUUACCAAGGCUUUGACGGGUAGCCGGCCUGAGAGGGUGACCGGCCACAUUGGGACUGAGAUACGGCCCAGACUCCUACGGGAGGCAGCAGUGGGGAAUAUUGCACAAUGGGCGGAAGCCUGAUGCAGCGACGCCGCGUGCGGGAUGACGGCCUUCGGGUUGUAAACCGCUUUCGCCUGGGACGAAGCGUGAGUGACGGUAAUGGGUAAAGAAGCACCGGCUAACUACGUG
rnacentral:rRNA from 1 species